UACAGAGGGUGCACGCGUUGUUCGGAAUUAUUGGGCGUAAAGCGCGUGUAGGCGGCUAUGCAAGUCGGGUGUGAAAGCCCUCAGCUUAACUGAGGAAGUGCGCCCGAAACUGCAAAGCUUGAGUACCGGAGAGGAUGGCGGAAUUCCCCAAGUAGAGGUGAAAUUCGUAGAUAUGGGGAGGAACACCGGUGGCGAAGGCGGCCAUCUGGACGGAUACUGACGCUGAGACGCGAAAGCGUGGGUAGCAAACAGG
rnacentral:rRNA from 1 species